UGCCCCCCACCAACUCCCCACAUGCUGGGGACAUUUACAAGGCAAGCUUUUCUUCCUCCAAGGAAGAAAAGGAGUCACCAGCUCAGCGAGUGGCUGCAGACAAGUCUUCUGCUCUCUUGUUGUCUUUAUCUGUGUCUGGAAAGGCUCACUGGGGAGAGCUGCAGGGAAACCAGUGAGAAGGACGAAGAGUGGGGCACGUGCAGCCUGUCCCAAGGGCACUCUGGAGCCAAGAUGGCCCUCAGGAAAGGUCCCAGAUCAGAGCAGGGAGCCAAAUGCUGUGUUCACAAAUGGGCGAGCCAUCAGAUCUAGGCUUCCUUCUUCACCCGAGCCCUCACCGGGGUGAUGCUGGACUGUGAGGCACCAGGAGCAGGUAGGAAGAGUGUCUGAGGCCUGGAGGACUGGACGGAUCACACCCUCACGUUAAGCAACUUGCACAACAACGACAUAGAGCUUGCUGCAUUGAGGCGCUCACAUUAACUCAUUGGAUCCUCUGAAACCCAUACGGUUUUAACCUCUGCCCUGAACCAGCAGAACCCGACUUAGCCCCAAGUGACGAGAGGAUGUGGGCCACUGGGAAGCUGAGAAAAAGGUGAGGCCCCAGGCCCUGCAGGGCUGGAGAGGAGCAGGACCCAGGGCCCUGUGCCAGCCAGAACUCAUGCCAUUCCAGAAUUCAGAAUUUGCUUGGUUGGCUUCCAGAAGAGCUAUGGCAAGAGGGUGACACACGCAGCCAAAUGCAUUUGCAUUCACAAAUCGGGAGACUGGCUGGGGCUCAGAGGUGGAGUACUCGCCUGGCAUGCACAAGGCCUGAGCUCUAUCCCCAGCCAAACCACAAACGGACCAAAGCAAAACAAAUGCGGAACAGCAAACAUGGGAACUCCAGGCUGGCUCUGCAGGAGCCUCGGGACUCUCAAGGGAGAUGAGACUAACCUCCACUCUGAGUGACUGCGGAGCAGAAACCCAAGACCUACUUCUCUGCUGAUGGUCAUGGAACGAGUGGGAGGCACAAAAAUACACCAUACUACUCAUCGAGACAAAGGAGUGGGUGUGAUAAAAGAGGAAAUGGGGGUGAAUAAAACACUAAAAAAAAUCAAUAAAUUAUCCUUGUGAUAAAUGA